rnacentral:tRNA from 2 species
GCCGCGGUGGUGGAAUGGUAGACACGCAGGACUUAAAAUCCUGUAACUGCAUAAGUUGUGAGAGUUCGACUCUCUCCCGCGGCA